ACAUGGGCGCCGGCGCGGAGCGCCGCGGGGCAGCGCGGGGUCGCCAUGGCUGAGCUGCAGCAGCUCCGGGUGCAGGAGGCGGUGGAGUCCAUGGUGAAGAGUCUGGAAAGAGAGAACAUCCGGAAGAUGCAGGUGAGCGGCCCGAGGCCCAGCAGAGGCGCUGCCAACGUGAAAGACCAGAAAGGCGAGGGCUUCCGGCCUCCCCGUUGGCCAGGUCAUGCCUGCUUCUCUUGUGCCCAACCUCGCUUCACACAGCGCGGGUUUCUACACUGUUCUUCUCUGAGCCCCGCAAUGCCUCUGUGUGUUUCGGUCCUGCUUCUCUCACGGAGUCUGUGUUUCCCAGAUAGUGCCCCUUGAGUCAUUGAUUAGUGGGUCGGCUGCCCUCUGGUGGAAUUUGUAUUGCUAGGUUGCUGACCUCUGAACCCCGUGGAAGAGGCUCCUGGUUUUCAGAAUUUGGCUUCGUCAGACUACCCUACUCUCACCCACUCGGGGGAACCUCUGUUCACCCAACCAUCGGUGCAACAGGUGCCGAUGAGCUAGCAGCAAGGACACCAUGAAACACUACACUAGACAUUGAGGAUAAUUUUCCCCAGUGGUGGUUUUAAGGUCCUGGUGUCUAUUCUCAGGGAAGGUGAAAGCAGAAGGUGGAGAGAGAGGUGCAAAUAUCCACGUGGCCUUCUAACUCCUGUAGUGCUCCAUAGUCAUCUCUGUCCCCAGAGACUUUCCUACCUAACCUCUCUGCCCUUUCUCCCCAGGGUCUCAUGUUCCGGUGCAGCGCCAGCUGUUGUGAGGACAGCCAGGCCUCCAUGAAGCAGGUGCACCAGUGCAUCGAGCGCUGCCAUGUGCCUCUGGCUCAAGCCCAGGCUUUGGUCACCAGUGAGUUGGAGAAGUUCCAGGACCGCCUGGCCCGGUGCACCAUGCAUUGCAACGACAAAGCCAAAGAUUCAAUAGAUGCUGGGAGUAAGGAGCUUCAGGUGAAGCAGCAGCUGGACAGUUGUGUGACCAAGUGUGUGGAUGACCACAUGCACCUCAUCCCAACUAUGACCAAGAAGAUGAAGGAGGCUCUCUUAUCAAUUGGAAAAUAAAAGUCUUUGCCAGUGGCCAUCAGGGCUGAGGGCAAGAAUAUAUUUUUUAUAAGGAAUUGGGAAUUUUAGUCUUUUAAGCAAAGUUUACGAAUGAAGAAAUGAAGGAUGGCCACAAGUGUAAGGCACAUGUCACUUGCCUCUGGACACUGGUUAUUUUAUGUUUCAGUCCCUAAAAAAUGAAAUGGAAAAAAGUGGUGCUAAAUCGAGUCAGAGAUAUUACAGGAGAGUUUUAGAGCUUAUUAUUUCCUGUGGCCAGUGCUUGUCCUGGCAGUAAGGCUCUCCCCUGUAACAAGCCAGAGCCCUCUAAGGUACCAGACUCUUCUUACUACACAGGUACUAACAGGCUGGCAGGUUAGAGUUGGUGGAGUCUGAGGAGAGAUAUUUUCUCUUUGUUGCCAACAUCCUGUUUACCAAAAGUAUCACCACACCAUCUUCCAUAAGCUGUGAAACAAAAUCAAUGAGGUCACUAACUUAGAAGGGAAAGAAAGUUUUCUGGGUCUUUGUUUUCUUGAUUUGGGGUAAUUUAUACAAGGGCGUACAAGUUGAUUUUAAGAUGUGGAACUGGGAGGUAGACUAGUUUGGAUAAGAACUCUGAAAUGUUCCUUGUGGAUCCCCAUUUCUGGUCAUCAAGAUGUGGAUGUACAUUUCUUAAAAUUAUUACAUGCUGCAUCUUUCAGCCUGGAGACCGUGCAGAAACAUGAGAGGUGACGACACACUAAUUAUGGGAAGCAGAAUUACUGGCUGAUGGCCCCUGAGGCUGUGUGUAGCAAAAUGACAGGACAAUCUUGCAGUAACACUUUCCCCUUGAAGAGAAGGGGGUUUUGAUUGUGAUAUAUACUAGUAUCUAGGAAUGAACAGUAAAAGAGGAGCAGUUGGCUACUUGAUUACAACAGAGUAAUGAAGUACUGGAUUUGGAAAAACCUGGUUUUAUUAGAACAGAUGGAAUGAAAGCCUACACCUAGCAUUGCCUACUUAGCCCCCUGAAUUAACAGAGCCCAAUUGAGACAAACCCCUGGCAACAGGAAAUUCAAGGGAGAAAAAGUAAGCAACUUGGGCUAGGAUGAGCUGACUCCCUUAGAGCAAAGGAGAGGCAGCCCCCAUUACCAAAUACCAUUUUUGCCUGGGGCUUGUGCAGCUGGCAGUGUUCCUGCCCCAGCAUGGCACCUUAUUGUUUUGAUAGCAACUUCGUUGAAUUUUCACCAACUUAUUACUUGAAAUUAUAAUAUAGCCUGUCCGUUUGCUGUUUCCAGGCUGUGAUAUAUUUUCCUAGUGGUUUGGUUUUAAAAAUAAAUAAGGUUUAAUUUUCUCCCCA
rnacentral:sRNA from 1 species